GAUGAACGCUGGCGGCGUGCCUAAUACAUGCAAGUCGAACGCAGUGGGGACGGGUUAGUAACACGUGGGUAACCUCCCAUAAGAGGGGAUAACACUUGGAAACAGGUGCUAAACCGAUAUUGAUGGAAGUAUUGGCGGUGGAUUCGCUAUUUGGUGAGGUAACGGCCUACCAAGGCCACGAUGCAUAGCGUGCCUGAGGGGAUGUUAUGCCACACUGGAACUGAGACACGGCCCAGAUUCCUACGGGAGGCAGCAGUAGGGAAUCUUGGGCAAUGGACGAAAGUCUGAACUAGCAACGCCGCGUGAGUGAAGAAGGUUUUCGGGUCGUAAAGCUCUGUUAUUAGGGAAGCGGUAUCUAACCAGAAAGCCACGGCUAACUACGUGCCAGCAGCCGCGGUAAUAC
rnacentral:rRNA from 1 species